CGCUGACGACCGGCGCACGGGUGCGUAACGCGUAUAGAACCUACCUUUUACUGAGGGAUAGCCUUUAGAAAUGAAGAUUAAUACCUCAUAGUAUUGAGAUUUGGCAUCAGAACUCAAUUAAAGAUUUAUCGGUAGAAGAUGGCUAUGCGUCCUAUUAGCUAGAUGGUAAGGUAACGGCUUACCAUGGCAACGAUAGGUAGGGGCCCUGAGAGGGGGAUCCCCCACACUGGUACUGAGACACGGACCAGACUCCUACGGGAGGCAGCAGUGAGGAAUAUUGGUCAAUGGAGGCAACUCUGAACCAGCCAUGCCGCGUGCAGGAAGACUGCCCUAUGGGUUGUAAACUGCUUUUAUACAGGAAGAAACAGUCCCUCGUGAGGGGCCUUGACGGUACUGUAGGAAUAAGCACCGGCUAACUCCGUGCCAGCAGCCGCGGUAAUACGGAGGGUGCAAGCGUUAUCCGGAAUCAUUGGGUUUAAAGGGUCCGCAGGCGGUCAAUUAAGUCAGAGGUGAAAUCCCACAGCUUAACUGUGGAACUGCCUUUGAUACUGGUUGACUUGAGUUAUACGGAAGUAGAUAGAAUAUGUAGUGUAGCGGUGAAAUGCAUAGAUAUUACAUAGAAUACCGAUUGCGAAGG
rnacentral:rRNA from 1 species